CCAAGACAACAACCUCAGCCCGUUGUCCGCCAGAGAACUACAAGUGAAAAACUUAAAACUCAAAGAACUUGACGGUGCUCCACAUCACCCUAGAGGAGCCUGUCCUAUAAUCGAUAACCCACGCUCUACCUCACCCGCCCUCGCACCAAACCCAGCCUAUAUACCGCCGCCCUCAGCCUGCCUUUCAAAAGCACCCAGAGCAGGCAAAACAGUCACCACUAAAACGUCAGGUCAAGGUGUAGCUCAUGGGCGGGGAAGAGAUGGGCUACAUUUCCUGCGCACAGGAAGCCCACCAACAACAUUCAGGAAACAGAUGUUAAAAGCCGGAUUUAGUAGUAAAUAGGGCAAAACAGCCCAAUUGAACCAU
rnacentral:rRNA from 1 species